UUGGUGUUGUAGGGCGUUUGGUGGAUGCCUUGGUGCGUAUGGGCCGAAGAAGGACGUUGUAGCCUGCGAUAUGCCUCGGGGAAUUGGCUAGCGAGUGGUGAUCCGAGGGUGUCCGAAUGGGGGAACCUAGCCUGGGUUAUGCCGGGUUGCUGCCAGCUGAAUUGAUAGGUUGGUGGUGGGAACGUGGGGAAGUGAAACAUCUUAGUACCUGCUGGAAAAGAUAUUUUGUGAGUAGUGGCGAGCGAAAGCGAAGGAGCCUAAACCUUGUGUGUGUGAUACUUGUCGGGGGUUGCACAUGGGGUGUUGUGGGGUGUUGUCUUCUCGUUUCCGACAGGACGGGG
rnacentral:rRNA from 1 species